ensembl:snRNA U6 U6 spliceosomal RNA
AUGCUCGCUUUGUAAGCACAUAUACUAAGAUUGGAAUGAUAUGGAGAUGAGCAUGUCCCCUAUACAAGGAAGACACACAAAAUUUGUGAAGCGUUACACAUUUUU